rnacentral:lncRNA from 1 species
CUCAUGUAUGUAUUUUUAUUUAUAAUAUUCAUGAUUUUUUUAUUCAAAAUGACACACAAUUGAUGAUGCAUGAUUCAGCAAGCUGUAUUUCAUUAAAUACAGCAACCCUAGCACUCAAAAACACAAUCAGGCCACACCAAAAGAAUUUUAUGUUAUUUAGAUUUUUAUAGAUUGAAUAAGGUUACCAAUUCCAUUUUUUAUAACUAUAGAAGAUAAAGAGGAUGUAUUAUAUGAAACAUUAUUCACAUUAAAGACAUAAUUUAUAGAAAGAAGAUAAAAUAUUGAUUUCAUAUGUAGAAAAAUAUGAGGCAAGAAUGAGGCAGCUAGAUUUGUCUUUGAAAUUUUUUGAAGUUGUAAAAUUUGAAGAAAAAAACAAUGAGUUUGGUGUGGCCUUAUUAAAUACAUAAAAUACAGUUGUGAAUGCAUUGAACUGCAAUCAUAUUGAGAUUCUUAGGUACAUGAUUAGCUGCAAGUAUGUAAAACACAAAAAAAUUUGUGUUACCCUAUGUGCUCAACAAUUUACACCAAAACUCAUUCAACUGUUAACUAAUUUUCCUGCAGUUCAAAUUUAAUUUCACAUACAGCUACUAAAACAUACAUUUGUAUAUCAUAUAUGAUCAGAUCAUAGGUGAAAUAGUUUGCUGAUGGUGAUUUAAUUAACAUAAGUACCAAACAUUUCUUCAUAAAAUUUCCAUAUGCAAGAAAAUUUGUAAAAACAUUUAUAUUUUUGGUUGUAAAGAAGUCAGAAACCCAUCAUUACACACACAGACUUUCACUAUAGUUACACAUUUAAACAAUGUGCAAUUUCUGUAUACAAAAUUUCCUUAAAAUAUUGACACUUGCAAAAGUCAUCAACAUGAUUACACUGCUGCAAGAUCUUAUUUUGCUACUCAUUUAUAAAUAUGUGGGUUUUUUUAAAGGCACAAUCUUCAUCCGCAUCUAAAUAUACUUCAUAUCAAAAUCUCACAUGAUCUUGAAAAUAAGAUCAAUAGAAAAAUCACUGUGGAUUUAUUAUUAUUUGUGGUAUACCAAUUUUCUUUCAUUUCGGGGGCAAAGUUGAGCAACGAAAUUCAAUGUUCAAAGAAGUGCUGAUAUUAUAUAGUUUGAAUGCAGACUUCACAAAAUCGAAUAUUCAUGAAAAUUACAAUUUUUCCUCAAUACCCUAAAAAUGGUACCCAUGAAACAAAAUAAAUCCACAGUUUUCUGCAAAUAAAUAUUUCAAACACACAUCUAAAUAUCUUCAUAUCCUAUUAAUCAACAUUUGAACUUAUAUAUCUGAUACAAGUGUUUGAAAAAAGUAAAGUAGUGUUAUCUAUAUUUAGAUCGAAAUGAGAUACAAACUCAUUUUUUGAUACAUAAAAACUAACCAUAUAUUGAUCAUUUACGGCCAAUAUGAAAUAAUCCUCAAAUAUUCAUCAAUCUGUACACAGGCAAGUUUUCAUCACUUGUUUCUUGUAAAAAAUUGAAAAUUUCCUUGUUAUAAAUGAACAUUUUUUUCCAAGAGGCAAAAAUAUGAAAUAAAUAAGUUAAUAUGUGUGGAGAUGAGAUUCAAAGAAUUACUUUUUGAUGGCCUUAGUGAAGAAAUGAUGAAAAUUCAUUCAAAUAUUUACAAUUCAUUUAAUUACAUGAAUACACAAAAGACAUCGUAUUAACACCUGAUGUAAUUCUGUAAAUUCAGAAAUAUUUGAGAUUUUUAUUUAAUUGCGAAAAAUGCGACAGGGUUAUUUUCGCAAUAAUUUAAACUCUGCAUUUUGAAAUUUGAUACAUCAAUUUAAACAAUUUUUCUCAAUAUUGCAAAAAUUACAAUCGCAUUUUAGACUAAAUAAAUGCACGCAAUAAUUUCUGAAUUUACAGUAUACUGCAUAAAUACACACCUGUUACCAAGCCAAAUGUUUUCUAACAUGCUAAUGCAAAAAAUGGUUUUGGGAUGAAAGACUAGAAUUUGAUACCUAUUAAUAAUGCCCAAAUAAACUGAGCAAUAUUUGUGUAAAAUUUUCAUUUUUUUUUUAUUUAAUAAUAUGCUUUUUGAUAUGGCAGUUAUCCAUAAGUUUCUACAUGUUAAUUCACAGCAAAGUUAAUGUCAAUUGUACCAACAUGUCUAAUUUUUGAAAGUUUAUUCCUGACAUAUAAGGCAGUUAAGUUAUUUAUAUCUGCAUUAGAGGUAGGUAUACUCAGACUCUAUUAAAUAAAUAAUAACAAGACACAAACAGUAAACAAAAAUUACAUACAAUACUGUAAACUAAAGAAAUUGUGUAAUCUCAUAUUUAAAAUCAAUUACAAACGAAAGUGAACCAACGCCUGAUGAGUCUGUAGUAAGGUAGAGUCCAUAAAGUGGAUACCCGAGGGUAUGCAGGGUCGUUAUGAUAAAAACAUAAAAUGUAGAGAGUCUUAUAACAACAACACUUUAGGGACUGCUGCAGAAAAUUUAUUGAUCGCAAUACAUAAAAUCAUGUUGAAGUAAAAAAUCGGGUUGUUAAAAUUUAAACGUCACAAUGUUACAAUGGUAAGUAACGUUAUUAAUAGCAACGUACUGAAAGUGAAAGUUGUAAUACAUGUUGUAUCAAGGGAAGACACUUUUUCACAAAGGGAACAACCAAAUGAUCGGUUAUUGACAUCUUUAUACCAUAGCAGCCUUCAUUUUGUAUCUUGUAUGUAUUAAUGGAACUGUCCUUGAUACAAUAUGAAAAUGAUUUUUUUUUUAUUACAAGUCCCAUAACUCAUUUGUUAUGACAAAAUAUGACAUUCCUUCUAUUAAUUGAAGAGGGUGGUAAAGGGUUAUUUUCAUGCAAUGUGUUUUGCCAUUUUUAUUUCACAUACAGCCUUGAAAACGGUUCGUUAUUCACCAUGUUUCGUGAAAUCAGUAAAAAGUUCAACGUGCAAGAAAUUUUAAUUGUUUGUUCAUCGUGAAAUGACAAUUUUAUUUCGCAUUCUUCAGCCCCUUUACGCCCUUCAUUGAAUAUUUCUGUUCUUUGGAAUUUUAAUUCAUUGAAAUAUUUCUGAGGUAUGAAUGUAUAAAAUAAUAAUGUGAUAUGAAAUGUGAAAAUUAUAGGAACCAAGUUUGAUAAAUAUAUAAGCAUGUUUAAAUGUAUGUACACCCCUACUUAAUAUAUUUUCCACACAUUUUUUUCAGUUUACAGUACUCCAAAUAAAAUGGCUGACACUAAAUAACAAGUCUCCAACAUCAUGUAUCUUGUAAAAUAUAACACUUGAAGUCUUUCAUUAACAACUUCUAACAAUAUUGAUAAAAUAGUUGUAAAAGUCAUUAGAAUUAUAACAUUAUAGCAAAAUCAAGCAGCUCAUAAAUGAAGCAAACAUGUCAAAAUUCAACUCAUUAAAAAAAUCAAAGAUGUCAGAUCUUACUCAGAUAACUUACAAUACAAAAUCUACAUCUUGUCAAUUGCAUAGUUAUGCAAAAUGUCACUCAAAAUUACUUAUUUUUGCAUUUUAUACAAUUCAUUUAUAAUAAAAUGAAUCAAAUUCAGAAUUUGACAAUUACAAUGAACAUCUAAAAGUUUUCUAAUAAAUUCAACUAAAGGCAAA